rnacentral:SRP_RNA from 1 species
CCGUGCUAGGCGGGGAGCCAGCGGUGCCCUGUACCCGCAAUCCGCUCUAGCGGGGCUGAAUCCCCUCCCGAGGUCCGGCAUCGCGGAUCCUGCGCGCGCGUCGCGGCGUUGACGAUCGGGUCCUGUGCAGAAACGACUCGUGAACCCCGUCAGAUCCGGAAGGAAGCAGCGGUAAGCGUCAGUCGCUUCGUGCCGCAGGCAAGCCUGGUCCGAGCCAAGACGCGUGCGCGUGUCCGAGAGGUCGCCAUCGACGGAGGGUGCACGG